CAUAAUGAACUUGAGAUUGAUCUACGUGGUUGCAUGUGUCAAUAGUUCAUUUCUUUUUAUUCCUGAGUAGCACUCAAUGGUAUGCAUAUACCACAGUUCGUUUAGCAAUUCACUUAUUGAAAGACAUUUUGGUUGUCUUUGGGUUUUGGCUAUUACAAAUAAAACUACUUGGGAACACCUUAUACAGGUUUUUGUCUGGAUAUAAAUUUUCAGUUCUCUGAGAUAAACACCUAGGAAUGUGAUUGCUCAGUUUUGUGAACUUUUUAUCAAAUUCUCCUGUUAUGAGUCACAAGAUUGCAGUUGUUGCAAUACAAGAGAUUGCCAAUAAGCUCCACCAAAGGCAAGGAGAGGAAGUUGAAUAAAAUCCUUGGGGUAUACAUUAGUCCAUUUUCUGUUAUUUAGAAUACCUAGAACUGGGGAAUGUAUACAGAAAAGAAAUUUAUUUCUUACAGUUAUGGAGGCUGAGAAGUCUCAGAUUGAGGGAUCACAUCUGAAGAGAGCCCUUUUGCUGGUGGGGACUCUCUGCAGAGUCUUGAGGCAGCACAGGGUGUCAUAUGGCAAGGGGUAAGCAUGCUUACAUACUAGCUCAGGUCUCUCUUCCUCAUCUUAUAAAGCAGCAAGUUCACCUCCCGUAGUAAUUUAUUAAUUCAUUAAUCCCUUAAUGGUUUAAUCCAUUCACGAGGGCAGAACCCUCAUGACCCUCUCACCUCUUAAUUUUAGGCCUACCUCUUAAUACUGCAUGGUGGAGACUGAGUUUCAACAUGAGUUUUGUAGGGGACAUUCAAACAUAGCAGAGUUGAAUAGUUACAAGAGAGACUGUAUGUGGCCUACAAAGCUGAAAACAUUUACUCUCUGGCCCCAGUUUGUCAACACCAAGUAUAAGCCAUCUGGGCCUCAUAGCUUUUCAAAGUUUUGAAAAUGUUAUUAGGUUCAUGGAAAGCCAUGCCUCUUUUAUGCCAUCUUUAUUUAGUGACUUUUUCACAUUUGAAAAAUGCACUGUUAUUUUUUAAAAUCCACUUUUAACUAACCUUCAUCAUCUACUUGUCAGAGGAGCAGUCAUCCCGAGCAUUAAUAAUCCUACUGCUG
rnacentral:lncRNA from 1 species